UACGUAGGGUGCGAGCGUUAAUCGGAAUUACUGGGCGUAAAGCGUGCGCAGGCGGUUUUGUAAGCCAGAUGUGAAAUCCCCGGGCUCAACCUGGGAAUGGCAUUUGGGACUGCAAGGCUCGAGUGCGGCAGAGGAGACUGGAAUUCCUGGUGUAGCAGUGAAAUGCGUAGAUAUCAGGAGGAACACCGAUGGCGAAGGCAGGUCUCUGGGCCACUACUGACGCUGAGAAGCGAAAGCAUGGGGAGCGAACAGG
rnacentral:rRNA from 1 species